UGUAUUAUAUCAAACACUAACCGCAACUAAAACCUCUCAUCCAUUUGAUUUCCAAUAUUUGCUUCGAUUUUUAUCUGACAAUUCACAAAUGGCUUCUUCAAGUCAUCGCCAAAGGCAACUGUCACUCAUCACUCCUCGUGAUAAUCACUCUUAUGGCUGCUUAACCCAGAAGAUGAAAACCUCAAUUUCCAUAGAGGAUUCAAAGAAAAAGGUGACCAUAACCACCGAGACGAUGCACAAGCACCGGCCUAUAUCGAAGGGAAAUCGUAUUGCCCUUGAACAAGUAGUCGUCAACCAAGAAAAGAAGACUACCAUCGACAAACAGAGGCUAGUCGUUAGGGAGGAGAAGCGUGAGGUCAGAGAAAAGAAGAUCGUGAGCCACCACACUACAGUAGAGAAGGAGAAGAAGCGAAUCCCGCACAAGCAUAGAAGCGGUGGCACUUUAGAAAUCACCUUCAAAACAAAAUUUUGACAUUAUCAUCUCUCCGUCAUCGAAGCCAUCGCAAACAUGAAGUUCCAGAAUUUCUCUGGGGGUGUGCACGUCAGAAGGGAACUUGCAUGUAUAAUUGGCAAAAUUAUACCGAUGUAGAACGGUUUUUUUUUUUUUUUGUUAAAUAUGUAUUUCCCUAUGGUUUCCCUUGUUAUCAAUACCCCCCCUGACCUUAAAAUAAAAGGGUUCUUCUUACAUUGUGCGUGUUUAAUUGAGGAUUAAUCCUCUUCAGGCAAUAUAUGUACCAGGUUUGAUGUGUGGAUUGUAUAA